AGAGAGUGACAGUGUAUUCUAUGGCGAUGUCUGCUUCCUUCUCCCCUGCGUCAGACCCCAAAUUCGAUCUCAUAAAGACGCCAUGAAGUUGCCCUAGUAGAGCUGAACAAUCUUUCAUCUUCUCGGGGCGUCUAUCAGAAAAAUGGGGAAAUUUUUUUUCGGACUGCCAUCCAAAAAGCAACAGCAUCUGAAAAGAAACAACUUGAUUCUGCCAAAACCAAGCUAGAAAAGCUGAGUACUGGUUGAUUACAAGUUGGUUCAUUGCUUCAAAACUUUACUGAUAUCUUUACUGGUGAGAAUACUUCAGUAGUGUCAACAUCACUGAUUACAGCUCUCUAGCCGCCUGAGUUUAGUCCCGUUCAAAUGCUGCAAUAUCUCAAAAUUCUAGGAAUUUGUGGUGGUGAUCAUCGUAUCAGUGGUUAAAAAUAUCAGGGUGAUGCCUUACUAUGCGUUUUAGACAAGAACAUUGUGUAUUUCAAUCCUUAAUUGGUUUAAUCCUCUUCCCAUCUUUGUCCUC